UACGGAAGGCAGCAGUGGGGAAUAUUGCACAAUGGGCGCAAGCCUGAUGCAGCCAUGCCGCGUGUAUGAAGAAGGCCUUCGGGUUGUAAAGUACUUUCAGUCGUGAGGAAGGUGUUAAGGUUAAUAACCUUAGCAAUUGACGUUAGCGACAGAAGAAGCACCGGCUAACUCCGUGCCAGCAGCCGCGGUAAUACGGAGGGUGCGAGCGUUAAUCGGAAUUACUGGGCGUAAAGGGCACGCAGGCGGUUAAUUAAGUUGGAUGUGAAAUCCCCGGGCUUAACCUGGGAAUGGCAUUCAAGACUGGUUAGCUAGAGUCUUGUAGAGGGGGUAGAAUUCCGAUGUGUAGCGGUGAAAUGCGUAGAGAUGUGGAGGAAUACCGGUGGGCGAAGGCGGCCCCUGGGACAAAGACUGACGCUCAUGUGCGAAAGCGUGGGGAGCAAACG
rnacentral:rRNA from 1 species